rnacentral:rRNA from 1 species
UUUGGCUCAGGACGAACGCUGGCGGCAGGCCUAACACAUGCAAGUCGAGCGGCAGCGGGAAAGUAGCUUGCUACUUUUGCCGGCGAGCGGCGGACGGGUGAGUAAUGCCUGGGAAAUUGCCCAGUCGAGGGGGAUAACAGUUGGAAACGACUGCUAAUACCGCAUACGCCCUACGGGGGAAAGCAGGGGACCUUCGGGCCUUGCGCGAUUGGAUAUGCCCAGGUGGGAUUAGCUAGUUGGUGAGGUAAUGGCUCACCAAGGCGACGAUCCCUAGCUGGUCUGAGAGGAUGAUCAGCCACACUGGAACUGAGACACGGUCCAGACUCCUACGGGAGGCAGCAGUAGGAA